AAAAAAUGUAGACUUUUGUUAUCCUACUCGUCCUGAAGUUUUGGUAUUGAGCAACUUCAGUCUAAAAGUCAAUGGUGGCCAGACUGUGGCUGUGGUGGGCGUUUCUGGGUCAGGAAAGAGCACAAUAAUAUCAUUGAUUGAGAGAUUCUACGACCCCGUUGCGGGUCAAGUUUUGUUGGAUGGUCGAGAUUUGAAAACCUAUAACUUGAGAUGGUUGAGGAAUCAUUUAGGUCUUGUUCAG
rnacentral:misc_RNA from 1 species